CGGACGGGUGAGUAACACGUGGAUAACCUACCUAUAAGACUGGGAUAACUUCGGGAAACCGGAGCUAAUACCGGAUAAUAUUUUGAACCGCAUGGUUCAAAAGUGAAAGACGGCCUUGCUGUCACUUAUAGAUGGAUCCGCGCUGCAUUAGCUAGUUGGUAAGGUAACGGCUUACCAAGGCAACGAUGCAUAGCCGACCUGAGAGGGUGAUCGGCCACACUGGAACUGAGACACGGUCCAG
rnacentral:rRNA from 1 species